UACGGGGGGGACAAGCGUUGUUCGGAUUUACUGGGCGUAAAGCGCUCGUAGGCGGGCAAGCAAGUUGGAUGUGAAAACCGCAGGCUCAACCUUCGGCCUGCAUCCAAAACUGCAUGUCUUGAGUACUGGAGAGGAUGGCGGAAUUCCUGGUGUAGCGGUGAAAUGCGUAGAUAUCAGGAGGAACACCGGUGGCGAAGGCGGCCAUCUGGACAGAUACUGACGCUGAGGAGCGAAGGUUAGGGUAGCAAACAGG
rnacentral:rRNA from 1 species